UCCAUAUACUCGUAAACAAGAAGCUUCGAGUCCUCUUUUGAAAUGCAACACAAUAACUUCACUAUAUUUGAGUGCCUAAUUGUGCCAAGGAUUUCAACCUCUGCCACAAAUUCUUUCUCUAGCUUCUCAUCUAAUUUUCUGACAUUCCAAAUCCUCUUGACAGCAACAAAUUCUCCUGCACGGUUAACAGAAAUGCGGUAUACCUGCCCUGACCCUCCACUUCCAAUCAGGUUAUUUUCUGUCAAACUCGACAAAAUGUUUGCUUGUGUGAAAUCCACUUUCUGAAAUGAGGUCAGCUUCCAUGAUGCCAUAUCACGUUUAUGCUUCUUUCUCAUAUAGUCUCUAACCGCAACCAAGGUUAAUAUGGUAGUAACUAUGAAGAUAGUUAUGGCAAGAACAAGGACCAAGACAAGAACUUUAGAGGACAGUUUGUUGGAACUUCUUCUAGGUCUUAUAUAGCAAUUUGGAAGGUUAAGAACUGGAUUAACAGCACAGAGAUUGGAAUUGUUCAGAAAGCUGUUCUCAUAAGCAAGGUUAUCAAAUUGAUCAGGGAUUUGCCCAGAAAGUUGAUUGGAGGACAAGUUGAGGGAUACAAGCUGCAGUUGGCCUAACUUGGAUGGGAUUUCCCCGGAGAAAUGGUUUUCAGAUAAGUCCAAAUCAAGCAGGUCAGGUAAAGACCCUAUCACUGCUGGGAUUUGACCUGAAAGUGCAUUUCUUGAGAGAUUUAGAGUUACCAAUGAUCUCCAGGAGAUUAUAUUGGAUGGAAGUUGGCCAGAAAGUUGAUUUCCAUCAAGCAAAAGAGUAGUAAGAUGAGACAGACUAGUCAAUUCCACUGGAAUUUCGCCUGAAAACAGAUUGUUUCUUGCAUCAAAAAAAAUCAAAUUCACCCAACUAGAAAUUCCAGUAGGAAUUGGACCAGAAAAUUUGUUAUUGCUAAUCUCCAAUCUGGACAAAUUGCAAGCCAGCGAGCUUGGAAGUUCACCCGAAAAUGAAUUAUCACUUAGCAUCAAGUAUGUCAUAUUUAUGGCUGUCCAAAUACCUGAAGGUAUCUCACCAUAAAAGUUGUUGUUGUAAAGCUGAACAGUGAGCAAAGCAUCACAUUUUCCAAGCGACUGAGGCACCUCUCCUGUGAGAUUGUUUGAAAAAGCAACAACACCUAGCAAAACACCUCCAGCACAGAGAUUUUCUGGUAGUUGGCCACUGAAAUGAUUGGUUGAAACCUCAAAAAAUUCGAGCUUCGAAUGAAGGCCUAUUUCUGGUGGCAGGACUCCGCUCAAGUUGUUGGUGAAAACCUUGAAAGUUUUCAGUGUAGAAAUGCGGCCUAUACUUGAGGGUAUUUCACCAGAUAACUUAUUGGAAUACAGAUUGAGAAGUUGCAGGUUCUUUAACUUGCCAAAGUCUUCCGGUAUCGAGCCAUUUAAGUUGUUCGUACCAAAAUCAAUUUCAACCAAAUUCAAUGCUUCCACUUUCUGGGGAAUCUCUCCAGACAAUUUAUUGUGAUACAGAUACAGUUUGGUCAGAUUCUUCAACAAAAACAACCCACCAGGAAUACUGCCCUCCAGAUUGUUUAUUGCCAAAUCCAAGUGCACAAGACUUGAAAGACUGGCAAAACUGUCCGGGAUGGGACCAAUCAAAUUGGCAUCUGUAAUCCACAUGAACGUCAACUUGCUUAGCUUACCAAACUCCACUGGAAUUUUUGAGGGCACAAACCCAUUGUAGGCCAAUCCUAAUUGAAAUAGAUUGGCCAACUUACCAAUCUCCUUAGGAAACGUCCCAUGGAACUGGUUAUUAUUCAGAUACAAGGACUGCAACUCCGUCAGGUUACCUAUCGCAGGUGGAAUGUCACCGGAGAAGUUAUUUGCCGCAAGGUUUAAGUCCUUGAGAGUUGAAAGCCAUUGAUCAAUAUCAUCAGGGAUUGGACCCACGAAAUAAUUUUGAGAAAGGUCCAAUCUUUGUAGCUUUGAGCAAUUGUACAGAACUCUUGGAAAUCCUUCGGUGAUGUAGUUGUAGGACAAGUCAAGAACGGUGAGAUUUCUGAGGUCACAGAUUGUUGCAGGGAUUGUUGCUGUGAUGUUCAUGUUACUGAGAACAAGUUCUCUAACCUUGCCGUCAGUGCAGGAAAUCCCCGUCCAAUUGCAAGGCAAGGAUGAGGAGUUCCAGGACUGGAGUAAGGUUGGAUUUCCCAGUUCUCGCUUGAGCUUCAAGAGGAUGGCCUUCUCUGUGUCGACAUUUUGUGAAAUUACAGAGGAGGGUAUAGCCGUUAGGAGCAAAAAUAAAAGGAGGUUCAGAAAUGAAAGAGGUAGUUUAGACAUUUGAAAUGGGUUGUAGUUAGUUUUGCAGGGGAUAAGAAAGAGAAAGGUAACGGCUUGCUUUGAUAUGGCGAGCAGAGGUGUGUAUAAUAUGUAUGAAGUUGGGCAAAUGGCACUGAGAUUAGCAGUAAUUAGAGACCCACCAUUGAUAAUGAUUGGAGUAGUCAACUGGUAAGUCUUCGUUCCAGCACCGAUCCACUAGUUGCUCGUAGAAAUGUGUGGACAUGCUUUCUAUACGCCCUUCUCUUGUAUGUAAAAGUAAAC
rnacentral:misc_RNA from 1 species